rnacentral:rRNA from 1 species
AUGGCGGCGACGGUGAGGAAGCUGGUGGUGGAGGUGGUGGAGGCGCGGAACCUGCUACCGAAGGACGGGACGGGCACGUCGAGCCCGUACGCGCGCGCCGACUUCGACGGCCAGCGCCGCAAGACGCGCACCGUGCCGCGGGACCUCAACCCGGCCUGGAACGAACCGCUCGAGUUCAACUUCCCAGGGCCCGGAUCCGGCGGCAUCGACCCCGUCGCCGGCGAGCCGCUCGAGGUGGCCAUCUUCCACGACGUGCGGGUGGCACCCACCCGUCGCAACAACUUCCUCGGCCGCGUCCGCCUCGACGCGCGCCAGUUCGUGCGCAAGGGCGAGGAGGCGCUCAUCUACUUCCCGCUAGAGAAGAAGAGCUUCCUCAGCUGGGUGCGCGGCGACAUCGGCCUCAAGGUCUACUACCUCGACGAGCCCCUCGCGCCGGAGCCUGACCCGCCUGCCGCUGAUCCUCCUGCGGCCGAUGUGGAGCCGCCCAAGGUUGAUGCGCCGCCGCCGGCUCCUGAUGCCUCACCUUCACCCGUGUGUGCGGACCCACCGCCAGAGGCAGAGGGGCCGGAGAAAGCACACGGAGCGCCACCAGCCGGCGACGAAGCCAACACGGAGAAGCCGCCAGAGGGUGACGGUGACCCGGCAGCGCCUACCCCGGCCACGGAAGAUGAGCCGGUACUGAGUUCGGAAGCGGUGCCAGUUUCCGAUUCAGCGGCGUCAGAGAGGCCGCCGGAGGAGGAGACCCCGCCACCGCCGCCGAUCCCGACGCCAAUGCCAAGGCAGGUGCCGGUGCCGCCGCGUCCGGCGCCGCCGCCACCGGAUGUGCCGAUGGAGCGAUCGAAGCACGACCUGGUGGACAAGAUGCCGUACCUGUUCGUCAGGGUUGUGCGUGCGCGAGGCCUGCCGGCGGGAGCGCACCCACACGUGCGCGUGGCCGCCGGCGGCCGGCACGCGUCCACCCGGGAGGCGCGCCGCGGCGCCUUCUUCGAGUGGGAUCAGACAUUCGCUUUCAAGCGCGAUCCGGCCAUCGACUCCCCGGGCCCCACGCUCGAGGUCUCUGUGUGGGACCUCCCUCCCGACGCCGAUGUGUCCAUCGCCGACGACCGCAGCUUCCUCGGCGGGCUCUGCUUCGACACCGCCGAUGUCCACGCGCGCGACCCGCCCGACGGGCCGCUCGCCACGCAAUGGUACAGGCUGGAAGGCGGGCGCCGCCUCGCCGGUGCCGACCUGAUGGUCGCCACGUGGGCUGGCACGCAGGCCGACGAGGCCUUCGGCGAGGCGUGGAAGGCGGACUCCCCGUCAGCGUCGUCGUUCUCGGCUGCCGUCGCGUCGCGCGCCAAGGUGUACGUCUCGCCAAAGCUCUGGCUCCUGCGCCUGACAGUCAUCGAGGCGCAGGACACGCUCACGGCGGCGCCGCCCCGCGACGCCGGCAUCGCGGUGCGCGGGACCCUGGGCUUCCAGUCCCUAAAGACCCGCACGACGCCGGUGAACCGCAACGGUGGGCCGGCGUGGAACGAGGACCUGGUGUUCGUCGCCGCCGAGCCGUUCAUCGACGAGGACUGCUUCGUCAUCUCCCUCGAGGUUCGCUACGGCAAGGAAGCUUUCCCCGUGGGGUCGGCCAGCAUCUCGCUCGCUGCCAUCGAGAGGCGGGUUGACGAUCGGAAGGUGGCGUCCAAGUGGCUCGACCUUCUCCCGUCCGACGAGGCCAUGAGAAAAGUGGGCAAGUGGGCGGCCAUGCACAUGCACGGCGGCCGGCUGCACGUGCGCGUGUGUCUCGACGGGGGCUACCACGUUGCCGACGAGCCGCAGUACGCGAGCAGCGACUUCCGGCCGUCGGCGCGGCAGCUGUGGCGCCCGCCAAUCGGCGCGCUGGAGCUUGGCAUCGUCGGGUGCAAAGGCCUCCUACCGAUGCGCACCGCCGACGGCAAGGGGUGCACGGACGCGUACGCCGUGGCCAAGUACGGCCCCAAGUGGGCGCGCACGCGCACCAUCUCCGACAGCUACGACCCGGCCUGGAACGAGCAGUACACGUGGCCCGUGUACGACCCGUGCACCGUGCUCACCGUCGGCGUCUUCGACGACCCGCUGCAGUCGCUUCCGCCGGACGAGGGGAAAGACGCCGCGUGUUCGCGACCGAUGGGGAAGGUGCGGAUACGGCUGUCCACGCUGGAGAACGGCCGCGUGUACCGCGGCACGUACCCGCUAAUCUUGAUGCUGCCCUCCGGCGCAAAGAGGAUGGGCGACGUCGAGCUGGCCGUCCGCUUCGCCACGUCCGGGACGGCGCUCGACGUGCUGCACAUGUACGGGCAGCCGGUGUUGCCGGCGAUGCACCACCUGCGGCCGAUCCCGUCCGUGAACCGCGAGGCGCUUCGGCUGGCCGCGGCGCGCAUCUCGGCCGGUCACCUGGCUCGCGCCGAGCCGCCGCUCCGGCGGGAGGUGGCGAUGUGGAUGCUGGACGCGGCGGAGCCCCGGGGAUUCAGCAUGCGGAAGCUGCGCGCCAACUGGAACCGCGCCGUGGCGGCGCUGUCGUGGGUGGCCGACGCGGCGCGGUGGGCAGAGGAUACCCGGUCGUGGCGGAACCCGACGGCCACGACCAUGGCGCACGCCGUGCUCGUGCUCCUGGCGUGGCACCCGGAUCUCAUCGUGCCGACGCUCACGCUCCACGUCGCCGCCGUCGGCGUGUGGAAGUACCGGCGCAGGCCGCGCGCCCCGGCGCCGCACCCGUGCGUGCGCGCGUCCAUGGCGGAGGCGCCUGACAGGGAGGAGCUGGACGAGGAGUUUGACACGAUACCGAGCGGGAGGUCGGCGGAGGUGGUGCGCGCGCGGUACGACCGCGCUAGGAUGGUCGGAGCGCGGCUGCAGGCCAUGGUCGGCGACGUGGCGACGCAGGCGGAGAGGCUGCAGGCGCUCGUGUCGUGGCGCGACCCGCGCGCCACAGGGAUGUUCGUGGUGCUCUGCGUCGUGGUGGCCAUGGUGCUGUACAUGGUGCCCAUGAAGGUGGUGGCAGUGGUCGCCGGGUUCUACUACCUCCGGCACCCCAUGUUCCGGGACCGGAUGCCGGCGCCAGUGAUCAACUUCUUCCGGCGGUUGCCUUCUAUGUCGGAACGUAUCAUGUAA